rnacentral:rRNA from 1 species
UACAGAGGGGGCAAGCGUUGUUCGGAAUUACUGGGCGUAAAGGGCGCGUAGGCGGCCUGUUAAGUCGAACGUGAAAUCCCCGGGCUCAACCCGGGAACUGCGUCCGAUACUGGCAGGCUUGAAUCCGGGAGAGGGAUGCGGAAUUCCAGGUGUAGCGGUGAAAUGCGUAGAUAUCUGGAGGAACACCGGUGGCGAAGGCGGCA